rnacentral:rRNA from 1 species
UUAGCGGCGGACGGGUGAGUAACACGUGGAUAACCUACCUAUAAGACUGGGAUAACUUCGGGAAACCGGAGCUAAUACCGGAUAAUAUUUUGAACCGCAUGGUUCAAAAGUGAAAGACGGUCUUGCUGUCACUUAUAGAUGGAUCCGCGCUGCAUUAGCUAGUUGGUAAGGUAACGGCUUACCAAGGCAACGAUGCAUAGCCGACCUGAGAGGGUGAUCGGCCACACUGGAACUGAGACACGGUCCAGACUCCUACGGGAGGCAGCAGUAGGGAAUCUUCCGCAAUGGGCGAAAGCCUGACGGAGCAACGCCGCGUGAGUGAUGAAGGUCUUCGGAUCGUAAAACUCUGUUAUUAGGGAAGAACAUAUGUGUAAGUAACUGUGCACAUCUUGACGGUACCUAAUCAGAAAGCCACGGCUAACUACGUGCCAGCAGCCGCGGUAAUACGUAGGUGGCAAGCGUUAUCCGGAAUUAUUGGGCGUAAAGCGCGCGUAGGCGGUUUUUUAAGUCUGAUGUGAAAGCCCACGGCUCAACCGUGGAGGGUCAUUGGAAACUGGAAAACUUGAGUGCAGAAGAGGAAAGUGGAAUUCCAUGUGUAGCGGUGAAAUGCGCAGAGAUAUGGAGGAACACCAGUGGCGAAGGCGACUUUCUGGUCUGUAACUGACGCUGAUGUGCGAAAGCGUGGGGAUCAAACAGGAUUAGAUACCCUGGUAGUCCACGCCGUAAACGAUGAGUGCUAAGUGUUAGGGGG